AACGUAGGACGCAAGCGUUAUCCGGAGUUACUGGGCGUAAAGCGCGAGCAGGCGGCUCGACAAGUUCGCUGUGAAAGCACCCGGCUCAACCGGGCGAGGCCAGUGGAAACUAUCGAGCUGGAGGGCAGUAGAGGCAGGCGGAAUUCCGGGUGGAGUGGUGAAAUGCGUAGAGAUCCGGAGGAACACCAGAGGCGAAGGCGGCUCACUGGACCGGUACUGACGCUGAUGCGCGAAAGCGUGGGGAGCAAACGGG
rnacentral:rRNA from 1 species